AGAGUCGGCCAGACGGUCGCCGCCUGCAAAGGGGGAGGAAAGUCUGGGCUUCGUAGGGCAAAGUGCUAGGUAACGCCUAGGCAGCGUGAGCUGACGGCAAGUGCAACAGAGAGCUGAACCGCCGAUGUUUGGUGUGCAAACACCAAGCAGGUAAGGGUGAAAAGGUGCGGUAAGAGCGCACCGCGCAACUGGCAACAGGAGCGGCAGGGUAAACCCCACUUGAAGCAAGACCAAAUAGGCAUCCUUUGGCGUGGCCCGCGCUGGAUGCGGGUAGGUUGCUUGAGCGUAUAGGUGACUAUACGCCUAGAGGAAUGACCGUCCUCGACAGAACCCAGCUUAUCGGCUGACUCUCAUU
rnacentral:RNase_P_RNA from 1 species